ACCGGGGUCCCACCUGUCCUGCUGCCCCCUCCCCUCUCAGGAGCUGGGCGGUGGUGGGAGGAGGAGGGCGGGAACACCGACGAUGCCUCUGGGGUUUCUAGGUCGCGUGUCUGUUAACCGCAAACCGCCCAAAGUUGAGCUAGAGCAGCUCCCAGGACUUUCUUGACCACAGCGAUUUUGAUUGAAGUGUAGCCACCGUCUUUUCCAUUUUUAGAAAAGCUUUCCCGAAGUUUGGAAUGCUGACGAUGGUCGUGUUAUUUUUAACUUCCUGAUAUUUGAAUGGCCAGGUGUCAGCGACCAUCCUUCCCUUCCACGGAGGCGGCUCUGAAGUUUGGGUCGGAUGGCGCGCUUGGAAUGCGCGUGGAGGCCUUGAGUAGGGCUCCGGCGAGGUUCGAGUUUGCCCGCCCCGCGACCUGAAAGAGAAGGGCCAGCCCUUCACACCCGGAAGGGAAGGGCCAGUGCCCCCAACACCUGGCGCCGGGGGUCGCUGGGCCGCGGGGUCGUGGCAAGCAGGGGUCCUCUCAGAUUGCUGGGCCUGAGCGCUGGCUGCUGAGUUUUUCCUUCGUUAAGGAAGUGUGAAACUGGUCUGAAUCGGUUGACCACCGUAAGGAAAUGGGAUUUACACUGUGGACAGAGAUGUGUCCUUUUUACUUCAUUUGAACCAAUAUGCUCGUGCCCCCAUGGAGGCUGAGUUGGAAAGUGAUAGGAAGCUGCCCCCGCAAGAGAGUAGGUGCUCGGUUUCUCUUCUGCUUACAGGAGAUGCAUGUCCUGAUUUCUCGUUCUCCUAGGUGUUUUUAUUGAGAUGUAGGGAAUAUAUGAAUUCAUAACGACUUAGAAAAUCUGUACACAUAGUUGAGAGAAAUAACAGGUCUCGAGGCUAAGGUGCUGUUUACUCCCAUGGGCUGGCCUCUUAUUAAAAUACUUGGGCAGCGAUUGAUGUUUACAAAUUACUAUGUUGGAGGUUAAAAUGAUCAGAGUGAUAGCCUCCAUCCUGUCUAUCAUGUUUAAGGAGAAUUGGUUAUUUAGUUCACUAAUGUUCUAUUUAAACAAAAUUUCUGUAAAACUAGUAAAUGUUACCCCACAUUCUUUGUAAGUUAAAAAAAAAAAGUUUAAUGUUUGCUCAUCAAAAGUGAUUUGAUACUUUUGUUCUGUUUAGGAAAUCUUUAUUCUCAGAUUUCUCAUUCUGCAGAAAUAAGGAUCUGGCAUGUCAACACAAACAUAGGACGUUGAUGCAGUCAAAGGGAAAUAACUGCUGCCCUGACUCUGCUGAGAGCCUCACAAGUCCCUGUGCACGCCAGCUUAUUUGCCAUGAAUAACCCUAUACCUUCCAAUUUGAAAUCAGAAGCAAAAAAGGCUGCCAAAAUAUUAAGAGAAUUCACAGAAAUAACUUCCAGAAAUGGACCUGAUAAGAUCAUUCCUGCUCAUGUAAUUGCGAAGGCUAAAGGCCUUGCAAUUCUGUCUGUGAUCAAAGCUGGCUUCCUGGUGACCGCCAGAGGAGGCAGCGGGAUUGUACUGGCGCGCCUUCCAGAUGGAAAAUGGUCUGCACCCUCAGCCAUUGGAAUAGCUGGCCUUGGUGGGGGAUUUGAAAUAGGAAUUGAGGUAUCAGACUUGGUGAUAAUUCUGAAUUAUGACCGUGCUGUGGAAGCUUUUGCGAAAGGCGGAAAUCUAACCCUUGGAGGGAACUUGACUGUGGCGGUCGGGCCCUUGGGAAGGAACUUGGAAGGCAACGUGGCCCUGAGAAGCUCGGCCGCCGUCUUCACGUACUGCAAGUCGAGGGGACUCUUCGCAGGCGUGUCUUUAGAAGGCAGCUGUUUGAUUGAAAGGAAAGAAACUAAUAGAAAAUUUUAUUGUCAAGAUAUCCGAGCUUAUGAUAUUUUAUUUGGAGAUACACCGCGGCCUGCUCAAGCUGAAGAUCUUUAUGAAAUUCUUGAUUCCUUUACCGAAAAGUAUGAAAAUGAAGGACAACGAAUCAAUGCAAGAAAAGCAGCAAGGGAGCAGAGGAAGUCUUCUGCUAAAGAAUUACCUCCAAAGCCACUGUCGAGACCACAGCAGUCACCUGCACCAGUCCAGCUGAACUCUGGCUCUCAAAGUAACAGAAAUGAAUAUAAGCUCUAUCCUGGACUUUCCAGCUAUCACGAGAGAGUUGGUCAGGCCAGGGGUGCUGGCUGCAAGGAGGCUACCUUAUGCAGGCUUCGUGAGAAAGUGGACUGGAAGUGAAACAGGGACAUCCACAGACCAGCCUUUCUAAUCCUGGGCCUCAGGGCAGCUGCCAAUCACCAGUGCUGACUGGAAUCUAAUUCUGCUUCCUGUUUGGGAAACAUAACCCCUACCAGAACUAAACUGGAACAUUAUGAAGGAAAUGGCCAGUUCCCUCAAAGAUCCUUCCGGUUUUGUAAGCUCCUGAGUAUGAAGCUUAAAGGCAUAUGUUGUGCAGAAGGAAAGGCCCCUGUGAACGCCCAGCUUUUCAGUAACUCAGUGGGGUUUGCUUCCCGGUAACCAGGAAGGUUUGUCUUCGUGGAAGGAAUCAUUACUUGGUUCACCUUUUUUUAGUGAACUCAUUUGUGGGCAUUAAACUUCUCCUUGUUAAAAUUAUUUCUAAUAUUUACAUUAAAGGGGAACUUUAAGUCAUUUGGAGUUUUUCAAAGAAAAAACUAACAGGGCACAGCACUAACUGGCUUGUGAACUGUUAUCUCAGAAAGCAGGUAGGCUCCUGGAUCUGCUGGCCUCACUCCUGUGAUUUUCAUGUGGAUGGAGUUUCUCCAACAACUGCUCAACUCCUGACGCUCCUGUACUCCUCCUCAGGAGGCAGAGGCAUUUACGGUGAAUUGGGUGAGGAACUGGGUGAGGAAUUCAGCACAAGGAACAGUCAACACACAUCUUAGCCUCAGUAAAGGAAAAAUGUGAGAUCCCGGCCUCUUCAGACCUUCAGUGGUGGCCUUGCCUUCAGCUGCACCUGGAAACCACCCAUGUUGCUCCUCUACCCUCCUCUCCCACUCUGCUUUCUCCUCAUUUCAUUUGGAAUCUGCACUUCAGAGAAAAUUAGACAAUACCGGAAUGUGAGGGCAGGGACCAAACCAGGCAAUUUGAAUCCACCCAUAGAAGUGACAGCGCUGUAUUCAUUUGAAGGACAGCAGCCUGGGGAUUUGAAUUUUCAAGCUGGAGACAGAAUCACAGUUAUAUCAAAAACAGAUUCACAUUUUGAUUGGUGGGAAGGAAAGCUUCGAGGUCAGACUGGCAUUUUUCCAGCCAACUAUGUAACCAUGAAUUAAAGUGUAUACUAUUUUCUUCUUUGAGAAUUACCAAAAAAUUAUUUCUACACUGACAGGAUUUACUAGUUAAGCAAUGUUUAAUAUAAAUUUUAAAAACUUCUGUUCUACACAAUUUCCAUUCAGUAUGUAAAAGAUCUUGUUUUUCUAUAUAAAAAGAGUUGACUGACAUAUCUUUAAAUACUUUGUACUAACUUUAUCACACAUGCUGUGCCAUAGACUAUCCUACAAUUUAUGUGCUCAUAGUUCUUUUGUGAACAUUUUCAAACAUCACUAAGCAUUUGAUCUGGCAAUGUAUAUGGUAGCUGUAUUUUAAUUUGAGAAUCUUGAGGGUAGAGCCACGAAUUUCAAUGCAUACAUUUCCAUUUGCAAAGUGACUGGAGAAAAAGAAAUCAGCUUAAAUGAGGUAUGAAGUAAUGUUUAGAGUUGUAGCUAUUAACUAGAAUAUGAAUCCUUAGAAAUCAUAUUUAUGCUUUCAAAAAUUGUACUAUGCAUUUAUCAUAGAAAUAUGAUUACAAAGAAGUCUGAUACCGUGUCUUUAGACAUAUGACAUCUCUCAACUUUUCUUCCUUAUGGGGCUACAUUUGUUCAUUUCCAUCAGUAGCAUAAACUUACGGUGAUGUGGUAGACUUGUCUGUAAAUAAAAUUUUUAAAAGUUUACUAACUUAA